rnacentral:sRNA from 2 species
UCACAACCACCACUACCAUCGCACCACCAUCGCGUCUCCUUACAAUAUCUCGUCCUCGUGUGAAAAUGCAUCGUGGGCACACCUUGACGCAUCUGGGCUGCCAGAACCGAAAACGCCCGCUCCCAAUCAAGCCUGCAGCAAACUUGCAUGGCAUCGUUCCUCGUGGGCGCCACGUUUUGAACUGCUAAGGCCAGCCCCAGCCCGAAUUGCUUCAAGCCACGGGUAGCCCAAUCAUCGCCUCUGCUUCCGUGCUAGAACUGCCCCAAUUGCUGAAACCGGCCAAUUAGCCCGUAUCGAGGUACUGACCCCCGCCUAUCAAUCGGACUCAAAGCACGCUUGGGCCUCCCGAACUCCGGGUUACGCCAGCCAAAAAUCGAGAGGAUAGAAGAAAAGAAUUGGAAAAUCCUUCCAGAGAAAGAAAGAAAAGGUUGUGGCAACGGUUUGGCUUGAUGAUUCUGGCUAUCGAAGCCAGAGCGAAAAGCGAGGAUGGCUCCUAGCAUACCAACAUUCUUUGAUGCGCCAGUGAUCCUGAUGUGCUCCAUACUUGGUUGUCUGGCCCCAUUCUGUGCAGAGUCUGAUGGUAGCCGGCCAAAACUGUCGACAGGAUCCAUAACUUCGAGAAGCAGCUCGAUUUCGAAAACCUCUUAAUAUUAAGAGUGAAACCAGCCAGUCCUGACUGUUGAGUGAUAAAUUAUACGUCACAUUCAACCAACCCCAUGUCAAGCUUUCGUUUUGCCUCGUUUCUUCUUGUCUUGAUCGGCAAGGCUAACUUUAUCCGCGCAUACAGCCAACCCCAAACAAAACUCUUAUGAUUGGCAUGGCGGUGUGUGCCAAGGAAAUUUUCAUAAGGGGAACUGAAGAUUUUGUUUCAAGAAUCAGGCACACCUGUGUCCUCGGAGACGGUUGAGGGUCUUCGCAAAAAUGCUUGAAUAUUUCCAUCCAACUGUACUUAUAUUUACAACAUCUAAUAGGACCCCUAGAGUGAUGUUUUCAAGUUUAUUACAUUCUCACUGCAGCAGCCCAACACUGCUCCACUCGGACCCAGAUGAUGGAGCUUUGCAUCCCAGUCCAAGGGAGGUCUUGACCUAGCCUGUCACAAAACUUACUAGCGCCGAAGGCUCAUGAUCCAAGUUUGGCCGACUCACCGGUUUUUCAAGGACGGAACCUUUGGCCGGUGAACACGACGAAUCAACCAUGAUCCCAAAAGGAAACUCCAGGUAGGGCCAAUUCGUCGAGGAUUGGAGGUUAAUCUUGAAAAAGUUUUGCUGUCUGUCGUCUCUGAGCAGCUGGGAGCGGACGUCACUUGGAGCGGCCGAAUGACAUUUAUGGCUGAAGCCAGUGGAGGCAACGCCUGUUCCAUGAGGGAUUUUUAUUCCGGUGAUUUUUAAGAAACUUGCUUGAACCCAGCUUCUCAGGCAAACAAACACUACCGAUUGAGAUAAUCAGGAGAUAUGCAUGACAAGAGAAGUCCACGUUGGAUCAAACACGGAUACCUAAAAUGGGUUUUUAUGUCACCGUCACGAAAAGCGGAAGGGAAAAAGAAUACCAGAACUAGCCAGGUACCACCACAAGCGGCAAGGCUUUGUUCCCAAAGCUCAGCUGUGUCAUGCACGCUCAACCAUGGAAAGGGAAGGGCGAACCAAAAAGGAACAAACGACAGAAACACAACACGUGUGUGUAGUGCCAUGCUACAUUUUUGCUUAUCUUUCCAGCCUGGUUUUCAACAAAAAUUGCCUUUGACAGUUUGGUUUGCCAGCUCCUUGACCCGAUUGAGGGUCCUAAGCUCCAAGCCACCACGUGGGAAUUCCUUCUUGGAAGAUUUUCGUUUCUGUCGCUUUCCGUUACACCAGGGCU